rnacentral:lncRNA from 1 species
GUGUCAGUGGAAGCUGGGGUGUCGGCGGGCGGCCGCGGCCGGGUCUAGCGGUGCCUGCGGAAGAAGGAGGAGGAGGGCUGGCGAUGAGAAGCAGCAGGGGGAAUCAAGGGCAAGAAGGGACCCAGAGGGGCAGGUGGCUGAGAUGCUGGCGUCCAGGUGACCCGAGGAAUCCUCUGGAGAUACAGGCCCGCGCAUGCGCGUGCUCGAGCGCUGAAGCCCAUUGCCCGCAGGGCGCUGGACUGGCGCCCCGGCCGGCGAGGCUGUCUAGUCCAGGCUCCAGGCCCCGGCUCUGGCCAGGCGCCGCCGCCUCCCGGUGCAGCUGAAAGUCGACGAAGAGGGCGGGGCGGGGGCGGCUUGUGGACUUCCACACUUUUCCUCUCUUCGGGCCAGUCUGGGGAGAGGGUGGCUAGCUGUGGCGGCGGCCAAUUACGUGGCGGACCUGCGGGGCUAAGCUGGCACGUCACUUCCGACUAGUGGAGUUUUUAGCCUUUUAACAUUCAAGGAUUAGAGCUCCCUCUUUGCCCACUAGCAGGGCAUUAGCUGGUGCUGAAGACAGUGGCUGCUUGGCGAGCCUGGAUCUCCAAGUGACCCCCUCAGCAACUCCUGAUGAACAGGGACUUGCACUUAGGAAUCUGUUACAGUGAGCACAGAAGCAGACCUGUGGGCUCAUAGUCUUCACCCCCCACCCAUAUAUACAAGAUGAACAGAGUGGAGGUUAAACAACUUGACUAAACAACACAGUUCAUGGUAAAGCCCAAGACUGUACCUGCCCAUCCACUGCCUUUUCCAUGUAUCCUGGAACUGAGCAUAGACCUCUUCCCAGGCAGAGCUGACAGCAAGUAAAGGAGAUCAUAAUCAGGGGACCAAACAACUUUGUCUAAAGUGUGAAUGUCACCUAAGGAGAAGCUGUGAGAUCAGAAGGGUGGGGCAGAGGAGCAGACACCAUGAGGGAGAGUCCUUGGGGGUACAUCUGCCAGACUGACACUGUCUGGCCUGGGCAGUGGAGGGGCUAGCAGGAACCACAGGUACUGGUGGUGUGGCUACUACCGUUACAACUGCCUGUGCUUGGACAUGGACCCUCUGCAAUAUGCGGCAGUUUCAUUCAUUGCCCCCUACAUUCUACACCAAGUAGAAAUGGAAGGCAAUUGGAUACUUCACAGACAAGAUCUAAGUGGAGAAGGAAUGCGUCCUGUGGCUGCAGAGAUCCUUGGAGCUUGGAGGGGAGAGCUUGAGCCCCACUGAUGAUGACCUCCCACAGCUCGCCAACUCAGCCCUCCCUAAGUCCCCAUCGGGGGCCAAUUCUCACUCUGGGGUUGGGGGGACUCCACCAUAGCUCAUCCAUCAUAGGGAUGUUGGUAUCUACUGUGGGUUGGGUAGGGCCGAUGUGCUGAGGAUGGCUCCCCCACAAGCAAGAGAUGUGGAUUUGGGGAGCUUCCCAUCUUGUGUUGAAGGAACAUAACUCAGAAUAAUAAGAGCCAACUAUAACAAACCCACAGCCAACAUCAUACUGAAUGGGCAAAAGCUGCAGGCAUUCCCCUUGAAAAGUGGCACAGGAUAAGGAAGCCCUUUCUCACCACUCCUAUUCAAUAUAGUGUUGAAAGUCCUGAUCACAGCAGUCAGGCAACAGAAAUAAUAAAGGGCAUCCAAAUAGGAAGAGAGGAAGUCAAACUAUCCUUGUUUGCAGACAGUAUGAUUCUAUAUCUAGAAAACCCCAUAGCCUCAGCCCAAAAGGUCCUUCAUCUGAUAAUUUCAGCAAAGUUUCAGGAGACAAAAUCAGUGUACAAAAAUCACUAACAUUCCUAUACACAGUCGCCAAGCCAAGAGCCAAAUCAGGAGCACAAUCCCAUUCAUAAUUGCCACAAAAAAGAAUAAAAUACCCAGGAAUGCAGCUAACCAAGGAAGUAAAGGAUCUCUACAAUGAGAAUCACAAACGCUGCUCAAAGAAAUCAGAGAUGACACAAACAAAUGGAAAAACUUUCCAUGCUCAUGGCUAGGAAGAAUCAAUAUCAUUAAAGUGGCCAUACUACCCAAAGCAAUUUAUAGAUUCAAUGCUAUUCCUAUCAAACUAUCAAUUACAUUUUUCACAGAACUAGAAAAAACUUAAAAUUCAUAUGGAACCAAAAAGCCUGAGUAGUCAAGGCAAUCCUAAACAAAAAGAACAAAGGUGGAGGCAUCACAUUACCUAACUUCAAACUACAGGGCUACCAUGACCAAAACAGCAUGGUACUGGUACAAAAGCAGACACACAGACCAGUGGGACAGAAUAGAGAGCCCAAAAAUAAGGCCACAAACCUACAGCCAUCUGAUCUUCAACAAAGUUGACAAAAACAAGCAAUGGGGAAAGGUCUCCCUAUUCAAUAAAUGGUGCUGGGAUAACUGGCUGGCCAUAUGCAGAAGAUCGUAACUGGACCCCUUUUACUAUGUACAAAAAUUAAGAUGGUUUAAAGAGUUAAAACCCAAAAUUAUAAAAAUCCUGAAGAUAACUUAGGCAAUACCAUUCUGGACAUAGGAACUGGCAAAUAUUUCAUGAUGAAGACACCAAAAGCAAUUGUAACAAAAGCAAAAAUGGACAAAUUGGAUUUAAGAGCUUUUUCAUAGCAAAAUAAACAACAGGGCAGACAAUCUACCAAAUGACAGAAAAUUUUUGCAAACUAUGCAUCUGACAAGGGGCUAAUAUCUAGCAUCUAUAAGGAAUUUAAACACAGUUACAGGAAAAAAAAAACCCACUCCAUUAAAAAAUGGGCAAAGGACAUGAACAGACACUUUUCAAAAAAGACAUACAUACAGCCAACUAGCGUGUUAAAGAAAACCUCAAUUAUCACUGAUCAUUAGAGAAAUGCAAAAUCAAAACCAUGAUGAGAUAUCAUCUGCCAGUCAGGAUGGCUACAAAAAAGUAAAAAAAUAAUAGAUGUUGGUGAGGUUAUGGAGAAAAGGAACUUAUACACUUGUUAGGAGUGUAAAUUAGUUCAAUCACUGUGGACAGCAGUGUGGUGAUUCCUCAGAGAGCUAAAAACAACUACCAUUUGACUCACCAAUCCCAUUACUGGAUAUUUACCUAAAGGAAUAUAAAUCAUUCCACCAUAAAGACACAUGCAAGUGUAUGUUCAUUGCAGCACUAUUAACAGUAACAAAGCUGGGCACAGUGGCUCACCUCACGACUGUAAUCCCAGCACUUUGGGAGGCUGAGGUAGGCGGAUCACCUGAGGUCGGCAGUUUGAGACCAGCCUGACCAACAUGGAGAGACCCCAUCUCUACUAAAAAUACAAAAUUAGCCAGGUGUGGUGGCUCAUGCCUGUAAUCCCAGCUACUUGGGAGGCCAAGGCAGGAGAAUUGCUUGAACCCAGGAGGCAGAGGUUGCAGUGAGCCGAGAUCACACCAUUGCACUCUAGCCUGGUGAAGGAGCAAG